rnacentral:lncRNA from 1 species
CUUCCGGGUCAGCCAGUUGGCGGCCUGGGCGUGGCGUUAGCUAGGGUUGGUGGCCUUCCAGUGAGUGGAGAAGUUCGCCUCCGCGCGGGUAACGGACUUUCUAAGCGUCAGAGAAGAUGCUGGACAUUUGUUUGCAAAGUUCUCUCAGGCCUCCGAUUUUCUUAUUUUAAGUUUUAGGCGAAACCUCAAGACACACUCCCAGAGAGUCAGACACCUUCCUGAACCCCCCCAGCAAGGUCCCCGGGCAUUCCUGAAGGAAUGUUCAACUGAGGAUGCAGGGCCUCUUAACAGUUAGUCCCGGGCGUUUUUCAGAGCUUGUCUGCUUUAUUUUCCCAGCCUGAGAGAUGAAGAGGUCCAGAGGCAUUGCGGCGGAGCGAGUCCCUAUUUGACCGUGCUGCUGGUUUUCACCAUGAUUGUGAGCUGUUCAUUUUCAAGGUGCUGAAUAGCUGAGAAGGAAGAAUAGGAAUAGGGUACCUGGUGCACCACCAGUCUGAAACCACCUUUAACCAAGUUCACAGUUUGGGUUCCCUGGAUGUCUUAGUCCGUUUAUGCUGGUAAAACAGAAUACCACAAACUGGCAGGAGUUUAAAGCUGGAAUCCCUUUGACCUUGGCCACAGCAAACAGAAGAUUAAUGAAAUGAAGCUGAAUGACAGUGCUGGCCCAACAUUAGCAACAUUCAUCUUUUCCCUUCAGUUAUUUUACCACUGGGUCUCAAUUCAUUUCACCUGACUCUUCGACUCUCUUCUACUUCUCAUGACUCGGGGAAUUCGUUUACAUGUUGGACUGGAAAUUUGGAUUUGGUGGUCAUCAGUGUGAAUGUAGUAGCUAUGAGUGAUGAUGAUGUCAUCCAAGGAGAGUAAAUAAAUGUGAAAGAGAAGAAUGUCAUCAAUAGGACAAAGCCCUGCCUGAAAGCCCUCAUUUCUCAUGUCA